UACGUAGGGUGCAAGCGUUGUCCGGAAUUAUUGGGCGUAAAGAGCUCGUAGGCGGUCUGUCGCGUCGGCUGUGAAAACCUGGGGCUUAACUCCGGGCUUGCAGCCGAUACGGGCAGACUAGAGUUCGGCAGGGGAGACUGGAAUUCCUGGUGUAGCGGUGAAAUGCGCAGAUAUCAGGAGGAACACCGGUGGCGAAGGCGGGUCUCUGGGCCGUUACUGACGCUGAGGAGCGAAAGCGUGGGGAGCGAACAGG
rnacentral:rRNA from 1 species